UACGAAGGGUGCUAGCGUUGUUCGGAAUUACUGGGCGUAAAGGGCGCGUAGGCGGCUUGGCAAGUUGGAUGUGAAAGCCCAGGGCUCAACCCUGGAAUUGCAUUCAAGACUGCCUUGCUUGAAUUCGGUAGAGGUUGGUGGAAUUCCCAGUGUAGAGGUGAAAUUCGUAGAGAUUGGGAAGAACACCCGUGGCGAAGGCGGCCAACUGGACCGACAUUGACGCUGAGGCGCGAAAGCGUGGGGAUCAAACAG
rnacentral:rRNA from 1 species